GUUCCCGGCUCGCCGCUGAACAGGUAAGCUCAGUGAGUUGGUGCGGUUGUGCCGGUCGGGCAUGGACGCACAUGGCGACGAGCCGGGGGCCGUGACAGAAAUAUAAUAAACUCUACUUACCUAACACAUGCAUGUCUACCUACAGCUUGCCCUGGACAUUGACAGAGAGGCUGACGACCACAACAAGUACCUGGAUGGAAUGGUGAGACUAAGCCGAGUAAUACAUGUCCAUUCUCUCAUGUAUUUGGCAUUAUUCUAGGGAUGGAAUUCUAUAGAUUAGAAAACAUACGGGUUUCUAGGUGUGUUUGAUCUCUAGCUGCUCUUAUCCUCUGCAAGAUAUAGAGCAUGGCAAAUGGUAGUUCUUCAGCUGUUUGUAACUACAACUCCCAUGAUUCUUUGUAAACCAGCUGUAUUUCUAUAACAAACCGGCUACAACUAAUAUGACCUGUGGUAAUCACAAUGUUUCUCUUUGUUCUGUAGGAUUCUGAUUUCAUGAGUGUGACCGGUCUUCUUAGUGGCACUGUGAAACGUUUCACAGGGAUGACUCGUUCAGGACGUGAUAAUCGCAAGAUAUUAUGUUAUAUUUCAGUCGGACUUGUUGGAUUGUUCCUUCUUUCUUUUUUUUGUUGUUGGAUUCGUCUUCGUUUCUCGUGAUUGUGUAUUUCUGGCUUUGACUUGUUUUUCACAUUUCUUGUAGUUUUUUCUAUAUUCCGGCCAUUCUAAAGAACUGGUUUAGGGAUUUUCUAUUUGUCUCUGUUUCUACUGGUGGGUUUUCACACUGCAGGUGUUGGGUUAAUCGUUUCAAUGAGACUGUAGGAUGUUUAGGAUAAUGGACCUUCCUUAGUUACUGGAGGGACUGACAUAUUAGAUCACCUCCUCCAAGCGCAGCCAAGGAGAAAGCAAAACAGAGUAACUCAGGUCGAUGGUGGUUCCCCCAACCAGACCCCUGCU